rnacentral:rRNA from 1 species
CAGCCGCCGCGGGAAUACAGAGGGUGCAAGCGUUAAUCGGAAUUACUGGGCGUAAAGCGCGCGUAGGUGGUUUGUUAAGUUGGAUGUGAAAUCCCCGGGCUCAACCUGGGAACUGCAUCCAAAACUGGCAAGCUAGAGUAUGGUAGAGGGUGGUGGAAUUUCCUGUGUAGCGGUGAAAUGCGUAGAUAUAGGAAGGAACACCAGUGGCGAAGGCGACCACCUGGACUGAUACUGACACUGAGGUGCGAAAGCGUGGGGAGCAAACAGGAUUAGAUACCCCGGUAGUCCCUGUCUCUUAUAC